GAUGAAGAACGCAGCGAAAUGCGAUAAGUAAUGUGAAUUGCAGAAUUCAGUGAAUCAUCGAAUCUUUGAACGCACAUUGCGCCCGCUAGUAUUCUGGCGGGCAUGCCUGUCCGAGCGUCAUUUCAACCCUCAAGCCCCCGGGCUUGGUGUUGGGGAUCGGCGAGCCUCCGCGCCCGCCGUCCCCUAAAUCUAGUGGCGGUCUCGCUGUAGCUUCCAUCGCGUAGUAGCUAACACCUCGCGACUGGAGAGCGGCGCGGCCACGCCGUAAAACACCCAACUCUUCUGAAGUUGACCUCGAAUCAGGUAGGAAUACCCGCUGAACUUAAGCAUAUCAAUAAGCGGAGGA
rnacentral:misc_RNA from 1 species